GGGCGUUGAUCCUGGCUCAGAACGAACGCUGGCGGCAUGCCUAACACAUGCAAGUCGAACGAGACCUUCGGGUCUAGUGGCGCACGGGUGCGUAACGCGUGGGAACCUGCCCUUAGGUUCGGAAUAACUCAGAGAAAUUUGAGCUAAUACCGGAUAAUGUCUUCGGACCAAAGAUUUAUCGCCUUUGGAUGGGCCCGCGUUGGAUUAGCUAGUUGGGGGGGUAAGGGCUUACCAGGCGAAUAACCAUUCCCGGGUCGAAAAGAUGAUCCACCCCCCUGGGACUGAGACGCGGGCCCCACCCCUACGGGAGGUGAUAACUGGGAAUCUUAGACCACUUGCGGAAACUAUGAUCCAGCCAUGCCUCUUGAUCGAUGAAGGCCUUAGGGUUGUAAAGAUCUUUCGGUGGGGAAUAUAAUGACGGUACCCAUAUACGAAGUCCCGGCUAAAUUUCGAGCACGUCGCCGCUGCAAUACCGAUGGGGCUAGUGUCGUUCCUUGUUACUGGCCCUUCAA
rnacentral:rRNA from 1 species